CUCUCGCUCAAAGAAUCGCAUUCGAAGCACACAAACAGAGAGAUCUUCCGAUCUCUCAGCCAGCAAUGGCUUCUUCUUGCUUUGGGAGAAAGUCCCCGGACACCCUUUCUUUGAAAGGAUUGUGGAAACACGCCGCCAUAGAAGCACAUUGCGGCUUCUCCAGUACCAAUUCCUCUUCGACUCCUCCACCCACAUACCGUUUGUACUGCCUUCUUGUCGAUCUCUGGACCACGGUCUUAGCUGAGGAUACCAUAUGGAUGAAGAUAUGAGUCCGAGCUCCUUGCGCGACGUCUAUUGGGACUUGGUGAGGUGGGAUUGUGGGAGGUGUUUGGACUGUUCUUGGAUCGUCGAGGAUGUUCUGGUCGCUGGAGGCAUUUCGUCGAGAACGAUAGUUAUGCGAUUGCCUUUCUCUUGCUGUGCAAACAGUGAGAGGGGUAACUCGAUGGGGCUUAUUCUUGAUGCGAGA
rnacentral:RNase_MRP_RNA from 2 species